UACGUAGGGUGCAAGCGUUGUCCGGAAUUAUUGGGCGUAAAGAGCUCGUAGGCGGUUUGUCGCGUCUGCUGUGAAAACUCAGGGCUUAACCCUGAGCCUGCAGUGGGUACGGGCAGACUAGAGUGUGGUAGGGGAGAUCGGAAUUCCUGGUGUAGCGGUGGAAUGCGCAGAUAUCAGGAGGAACACCUAUGGCGAAGGCAGCUCGCUGGGACGUUACUGACGCUGAGACGCGAAAGCGUGGGGAGCAAACAGG
rnacentral:rRNA from 1 species